CUGCCCUGACUAGCUGAAGCU
rnacentral:misc_RNA from 1 species